AAACUUCCGGUAAUGGCGGCUCACUGAUGAAGACGUCGGGUCACAAUAUAGAUUUGUGGAACUAAAGAUGUAAUGCAGACAGUAUAAAGGACCUCCGCUAUGGAGCAGUCUGUGAGUCAUUCCCUAUCCCCAGAUGCUGCGGUGUUCAUCCCUCGUCAGUUCCCCGUGGAUGGACCACUACAGGUUCAACAGAUUCCGUCUUACAUGACAAACUGCUAUCCAUUUGUACAGCUGGAUGCAGAGAGGCAGAAAAAUUUGGGUCGACAUGGCAGGUUUGCAGCCCCUUUGGUGGGGCCUAAUACUCAGAGGUUUCCCAGAGGGUUUCCAGGUCCUGGAAACAGAAUGCCAGUACCUCAGAACUUCAACCCCAGUGUACCCCCACCCCUGGAGAACACCUGGGUACUGCCCCCAACAUCUGUCCCUCCCCUGAACAUGAUGAACUUUCCACCGCCCCAAGACGCCCUGUUUAGCCAGGACAAAAACCAAGUGCAGCAGAAAAUUUCCCCCAGGGGACCUCCCAAGAAGCAGGGGUGGUCUCCAAGGGAAGAGAGCGCCAAGGAUGGGAGUUGGAAUUCUGGGAAAAAGGGGAGAAGGAGAGACAGUGGGGGAGAAGAGAAGAAAUGGGCUCAGAGAAGUCGAAAUAACUCGGGUAAGAGUAACACAAGUGAGGGACACAGAGAGGAAAGUAAAACCGGGUCACAGAACAGGAGAAAGAAGGGGGUCAAGGUCAAAGAUGGCUGGGCAGGGCAAGGGGAGACACCUGUCAAUCAACCGUGUACACCUGCCUCUGCCGUCAGCAUGACAGACACAGCCAUACAGACAGAAUUUUCUGACAGUUUUGCCAAUAAAACACUGGCUCAGUAUCCCAGUCCAAUAUACAACCCCAAACUGAGUAACCAUGGUAACAGACAAGUGAUUGGCAGCUCUUCUGAGGACUCUGACAGCGGAUACCACAGUCCGCUGCAUCGUAAAAACCAGGUCACGAGUGGGACACAACCGAUGGCAAUUAACCCCGCUCUCGUUGACAGUGAUACGCAGCAUAAAAACGACUACUCUAAGCUUGUUGCAGAACAUUCUGAAACGGAAAAGUUGCCAUCCAAUCAGCCUAGUGCAAUCAAAGACACUCAAUCAUCACAACAGAUAUUUUCUUACGCAUUUAUUGCACAAUCAAAACCCGUGAUAGAAUCUAGUGUGAAAUCGGAGGAAAAGCAGGGAGUGGAGGAGGGCAAGAAAUCCGAGGAGAAGAAAACGGAGGGCGAGGAGAGCGGAAAUGAGGGCAAGCGGAAACGGAAAAGAAACAGGC
rnacentral:misc_RNA from 1 species